GCGCAGGGCCAGGAGUUGGACUCAAUGAUCCUUGUGGGUCCCUUCCAACUCAACUUAUUCUGUGAUCCUGUGAUUUUGUAAAUGGAAAGAUGCACUUCCUUUGCCAAAAGCAAAUGCCAGUAGGCCAAAUGUGGACCUGGAUGAUUUUGGGGAAGCUUAGCUGUCUUCUACUGCUAUCAGAUUUGCUGUAAAGCCUGCUCUUUCAUCUUCAGUGUCACAACAAGAAUCCAAAGUAAAACUGCAGUCAGUGAGCAAUUGAUGUACAGUACACAGGGUCUGUAGGACAGAGUCUCACUUCUACACGUACUUGUUGUAUUACAAGCUUUAUAUCAACGUUUUAAAUGCAACGAUGUGGGUAAGCCAGUGAAUCUGGUAAGCUGAAGAUGUAAGAUUUCUUUCUUGCUUCUUUUUUCUUAAGCAUACAGACUUCCCACCAGAGUUAUUAUACACUUUCCCUGGAGUGGUCUUCUUAUAGAAAUUCAGGAACAACCUCUACAUAUUUUGAAAAAAGCCCAGUGAAACUUUGAAUUUUACAUUCCACAUGUUAAAGGAUAAAGGUAUUAAUGCAAGUCAUUUACGUAUUUUGAACAUUGAACAUUUUUUUUCCAUUCUCAAUUGAAAAGAUGAACCUAAUGUAUGCAAAGAGCAGCAACAUUUUUCCACUCAAAUCACAUGAAUAUUUAACUGUAAGAGGUUUCUUUUUGCCUUAUCUGGAAAACCAAUCAGUGGAGGGAAAACUUACAAGGACUUGAGACUCCUGAGCACGAUCAUGCAGUCCAUUUACUCACAGGAUACUCUUCCCAUCCGUCCCUUGAGAAUGAUGCCUAUCUGGGUGCAGGUCUGGGGAGAGCCAGUUGUGUGCUGAAUACAAAGAGACUGAGGUAAGUGUGAUGUGGCAGCUCUAGAGUUAUCCACAGAACUGCAGUGAACAUGAAGUGACAUAGAAAGAGUUAUCUGCUGACAUUGCCAAUACUGUAGGAAAUCUUAGUUAGACUGCUCAGGAUCUAGUGGCCGCAUUCACAGAAAGAGUCUGUUCCCACCUGUGCUGCCCAGUGGCUGGGAAGCGUGGAAAUAUGAGCCUCAGCCAGCUCUGCUGUUUCACAGAGUUUCUCUUCCUCUUUUCCACUUCCUGUAGCUACCUCUGUCGUUUCCCUCUCCUCCUCCUCAAGCGCUGCAAAAGCACCCAAAGACUUUGGAAGUAUGUCCUGUUAGGUGCUGAAGACCAAAAUAUAAAAUGCAUUAGAGAGAGUGUGGAGCUGGAAACCUUCUUUCCCUGCCAGACCACAAGCAGCUGUUGUGAAACAACUCUCAGACCCAGAUUUUACUGCUGUUUGAUGACACUGACAGCUAAUGCUGAUGACGCAGGGGCUGGUUAUUGUCUGGACAACAAGGAGCGAGGCUGUUGCUGUGGGCUAAACAAUUAACACCUCAGAGGGUUCCAGGGAGCAAGCAAGCUUGCUGAAGUACCAGGGAACAAAGAGCUGGUGGCAGUGGCACACACACAUCACACGAAACUUGCACAGUCCUUGAUAAAGUCUGGAAGAAGUAUUCUGAGGUUUGGAAUGUUCAUUCUUUUAACCACACAAGUUACCUUUGAUUUUCCCUGGGUUUUAUACCAGCUGAUUUGGUUCAGCGUUGACAGUUCACCUUAAUUCAAAUUACCAGAACUUCUUUUGUUGUGCUUGCCUCUAUCUAAUAUACUGUUCCCUAUCUGAUAUUAAGUUGCUUAUGCCAUGCCAGUCUCUUGUCUCUUCUGUGUGUACCACUGUUUCUGAAGCUUCUCAAGUUCAAGUGCCAGACAUAACUGUACUCCAUAGACCUCUGUUAAUAAAUAUCUGUCCCUUUGC